CCUUGAGCAUGGACAGCCUGGAUCUGCUGGGUGAAGGGAGAAGUUAUGUCCAGGGUGGGACAGAGAGGAUGGCGAGAGAUUUCCUCACUACUCAGAACAGCGGGAAAUUCAAAACUUAGGGAUUAUUUCUGAAAUUUUCCAUUUAAAAUUGACCAAGUGUAACUGAAACCAGAGAAAGCAAGACUGACGAUAAGGGAGGGGCCUCCUGUACUCCAAGAGCACUGAAUCUGGAAAAACUCAACACAUCGAUGGAGUCAUAUAUUUAAUUUUUUCUUAAAAGCCACCUGUGGGGUAUUGUAGAAACGCUGCGCUGCCUAUCACAGCUUGUGAUGUGACACGUUCAUUCUGCAAGUUUAAACUUCGCCUAGCAAAUCUUUAUGAGCAUCUACUAUGCAUCAUGCUGUUCUCGUGAACAAAACAAGAUCCAUAUCCUAAGGGAGUGUGCCUUCCAGCAGAGAAAGACGGCAAUGUGUAAGGAGCGUCAGAAGAAGAUGUUGUCUUUUGUGUGUAGAAAGUGGUUGCAUCAUCCUCCAGUGUGUGUAAUCGCCCUCCUCAUACUGUUUAUCCAUUCAUUCAGCAGUGGACACCUGGGUUGCUUCUAGCUUUCGGCUAUUGUGAAUAAUUCUUCUGUGAACGUGGAUUUACAAAACUCUGCUUUCAGUUAUUUUCGUUGUAUACUCAGAAGUGGGAUUGCUGUAUCCUAGGAUAAGACUAUUUUUGUAAUUUUGAGAAACUGCUGUACUGUUUUUCCGUGGUGGCUGCACCAUUUU
rnacentral:sRNA from 1 species